GACGAACGCUGGCGGCGUGCUUAACACAUGCAAGUCGAACGAUGAACCCGGAGCUUGCUCCGGUGGAUUAGUGGCGAACGGGUGUGUAACACGUGAGUAACCUGCCCUUGACUCUGGGAUAACUGCGGGAAACUGUAGCUAAUACCGGAUACGACCCUCGGCGGCAUCGCCAGGGGGUGGAAAGAAUUCCGGUCAAGGAUGGACUCGCGGCCUAUCAGCUAGUUGGUGAGGUAACGGCUCACCAAGGCGACGACGGGUAGCCGGCCUGAGAGGGUGACCGGCCACACUGGGACUGAGACACGGCCCAGACUCCUACGGGAGGCAGCAGAGGGGAAUAUUGCACAAUGGGCGCAAGCCUGAUGCAGCAACGCCGCGUGAGGGAUGACGGCCUUCGGGUUGUAAACCUCUUUUAGUAGGGAAGAAGCGAAAGUGACGGUACCUGCAGAAAAAGCACCGGCUAACUACGUGCCAGCCGCCGCCGUAA
rnacentral:rRNA from 1 species